rnacentral:rRNA from 1 species
AACGAACGCUGGCGGCAUGCCUAAUACAUGCAAGUCGAACGAUCACUUCGGUGGUAGUGGCGCACGGGUGCGUAACGCGUGGGAAUCUACCCUUGGGUUCGGAAUAACAGUUAGAAAUGACUGCUAAUACCGGAUGAUGACGAAAGUCCAAAGAUUUAUCGCCCAAGGAUGAGCCCGCGUAGGAUUAGCUAGUUGGUGAGGUAAAAGCUCACCAAGGCGACGAUCCUUAGCUGGUCUGAGAGGAUGAUCAGCCACACUGGGACUGAGACACGGCCCAGACUCCUACGGGAGGCAGCAGUAGGGAAUAUUGGACAAUGGGGGCAACCCUGAUCCAGCAAUGCCGCGUGAGUGAUGAAGGCCUUAGGGUUGCAAAGCUCUUUUACCCGAGAUGAUAAUGACAGUAUCGGGAGAAUAAGCUCCGGCUAACUCCGUGCCAGCAGCCGCCGUAAUAC